UACGUAGGGUGCAAGCGUUGUCCGGAAUUAUUGGGCGUAAAGAGCUCGUAGGCGGUCUGUCGCGUCGGCUGUGAAAACCUGGGGCUUAACUCCGGGCCUGCAGCCGAUACGGGCAGACUAGAGUUCGGCAGGGGAGACUGGUAUUCCUGGUGUAGCGGUGAAAUGCGCAGAUAUCAGGAGGAACACCGGUGGCGAAGGCGGGUCUCUGGGCCGAAACUGACGCUGAGGAGCGAAAGCGUGGGGAGCAAACAGG
rnacentral:rRNA from 1 species